AUCCAGCUGACGAGUCCAAAACAGAAAAAAACGCGAGUCCUGGAU
rnacentral:hammerhead_ribozyme from 1 species